rnacentral:rRNA from 1 species
CAGCAGCCACGGGAAUACGAGGGGGGCAAGCGUUGUUCGGAAUUGUUGGGCGUAAAGGGCUCGCAGGCGGUUUCUUAAGUCUGAUGUGAAAGCCCCCGGCUCAACCGGGGAGGGUCAUUGGAAACUGGGAAACUUGAGUGCAGAAGAGGAGAGUGGAGUUCCACGUGUAGCGGUGAAAUGCGUAGAGAUGUGGAGGAACACCAGUGGCGAAGGCGACUCUCUGGUCUGUAACUGACGCUGAGGAGCGAAAGCGUGGGGAGCGAACAGGAUUAGAUACCCCAGUAGUCCCUGUCUCUUAUAC